CCGGGGUCUCCUCCCAGUUGGACAUGCCCGGAAAACCUCCGAAGGCAUAUGAAUGAUGGAAAUGUCUUUACGCAUGCUCAUUAAUCCAGAUCAUGUGGUUGAGUUCUAGUCAAUGCUUCUCCCUAGAAACGAGUCCACAGCACAGAACUGCUGUCCCUUCAGGAAACCCAGACCCGCUGCAUGUCGACUGGUGGCAAGGCUUUCACUCAUGGUAGACAGAACAAACAAAGCCUGUCCAGGGUGUCUCCCUGCCUGCUGCCCAAUGACUGCUGGGAUAGGCUCCAGCAUCCCUGCAACCCUGAAUAAGGAUAAGCGGUUUGGAUAACGGAUGGAUGGAUGGAUGGAUGGAUGGGUGGAAAUGCACCUAAUUCACAUUUUAUUGUUUGCGAACCUAGAAAUGAUCGCAUAAAUUCACCAGACAGUUGGAUGGAAACAUCCCCACUGAGGAUACCUGACAUCGAACUACAGCAGCAUCGCUCUCCAAGGCCUCCUCAUACCCGUGGCACAAAGUAAUCCAACAUGUCUUCUAAAGAAUGUCACCGCUGUACCAUUGAUUUGAAUUCAAUUUCACGCAAUUCAAAUAUGUUGUCAUUAUGGGAUGUACAAGUACAAACAACGAAAAGAGGUCUGUCGGCCCUCAGAAUGUACCACGGGUUCAAAGCUAAACCACGAAACCACAAUAAAUAAA